rnacentral:rRNA from 1 species
UGCGAGUCAACACAGCAAUGUGUGGCAUACGGCUCAGUAACACGUAGUCAACAUGCCCAGGGGACGUGGAUAACCUCGGGAAACUGAGGAUAAACCGCGAUAAGUCACUACUUCUGGAAUGGGUAAUGACUUAAACCUAUAUGGCCCCUGGAUUGGACUGCGGCCGAUCAGGCUGUUGGUGAGGUAAUGGCCCACCGAACCUGUAACCGGUACGGGCUCUGAGAGGAGGAGCCCGGAGAUGGGCACUGAGACAAGGGCCCAGGCCCUAUGGGGCGCAGCAGGCGCGAAACCUCUGCAAUAGGCGAAAGCCUGACAGGGUUACUCUGAGUGAUUUCCGUUAAGGAGAUCUUUUGGCACCUCUAAAAAUGGUGCAGAAUAAGGGGUGGGCAAGUCUGGUGUCAGCCGCCGCGGUAAUACCAGCACCCCGAGUGGUCGGGACGUUUAUUGGGCCUAAAGCAUCCGUAGCCGGUUCUGCAAGUCUUCCGUUAAAUCCACCUGCUUAACAGAUGGGCCGCGGAAGAUACUAUAGAGCUAGGAGGCGGGAGAGGCAAGCGGUACUCGAUGGGUAGGGGUAAAAUCCGUUGAUCCAUUGAAGACCACCAGUGGCGAAGGCGGCUUGCCAGAACGCGCUCGACGGUGAGGGAUGAAAGCUGGGGGAGCAAACCGGAUUAGAUACCCGGGUAGUCCCAGCUGUAAACGAUGCAGACUCGGUGAUGAAUUGGCUUCAUGCCAAUUCAGUGCCGCAGGGAAGCCGUUAAGUUUGCCGCCUGGGGAGUACGGUCGCAAGACUGAAACUUAAAGGAAUUGGCGGGGGAGCACCACAAGGGGUGAAGCCUGCGGUUCAAUUGGAGUCAACGCCGGA